rnacentral:lncRNA from 10 species
CAAUGAGCAGGGGUUGGGGAAAGAAAAGGAAAAAGAAAAUGGAAAAUGCACUCCCAGCCGUGAGAGAGGGCAUGGCAGUGUUUCCCACUGGUCUCUCCCACAGAUGACGCCUGCAGAGGUGCGCGAGGCUGGGUGUCCAUCUCACUCACCCAGCCUGAAAAUGUCUAUGUGAAGAAGCGUAAGCAAAACAGACACUUGUGCUAAUCACUGUUCAGAGCUUGGCUGCUGAGUGUUUUCUGGGAGCUGCAUUGUCAGUUGAGGGCUGCCCGCUGCGUGGGGUGGAUUCCCCAGCCCUCACAGGAUAAUUUUAUCACAGAGGACAACAUUUGUAGUUCUGCAUGAGUGGCUCUCCUGGCGAGAUAAAGAAGAGACAGUGAGCUGAGGCUGAGGCUGAGAAGGCUGGCAUAUGUGAUGUCUUCGGGGAUCGGAAGCUGUAAAGAAAGCUUUUAUGGUUCCCUGACUGAGGAUAAUCAACCCCUUCAUAAUUUAGAAUCCAAAGAUUGGAUCUUCUGAGAACAUCAGAGAAAGACUGCCCUUGCCAUCCACACUGCAACAAAACUUCAGAACCUUGAACCUUGGGUUCAUAAUCUCACAACAAAGAAGGGUCCCUCCAUGUUCUUGGAGCUGUACACCCAUUGGAACUCUUAAGGUAAAGCUAACCAGGGAAGUUUCUCCCCAGAAGAUGGGAUCCUUAAUGUGAACAGCUUUUCCCAAUAUCACAGAUCAAGAUUUCUCUACUAUCAUGAGACUUUUAUCUUUGAAUAUUUUCCCUUCCUUAUGCCUCUAUAAACACUAGGAGUGAAAAGGGGGUCUGUUGUGUACACUUAUAGGGUAUGAUUUUAUUUGUGAAGGAUUUUGCAGCCAGCGUUAUACAUGGAUAACUUUAUACCUUGAUGGAUGACAGAUGAGGGACCAAUGUAGGUGAGAAACUUUAAUGGUACAUACAUUGCCUCCUAAUCAGUCAGAAAUAAAACAUUAGUUCACUCCUCUUAAUCCACAUCAUAAGUUAAAGAGAAUAUUGCCAGGAGGCCUUCAUUCUUCUAGAAGGGCAUCAUUUGUUA